CUAUUUCUGAGAUCUUCACAUAGCUUCUUUUUCAUCUGUUAUAGAUAGUUUUCCAUUAUCAGGUAUUCAUUUCUUUUGAUGCAACUGCUCUUAUAAAUCAGCAGAAUAGCACAAAAGGAGUUUGCUCUGAAUCAUAUAAUCCUCUGUAGGGUCAUGGAGAUUGUGCAGUUUAGUCAGAGUGUCUACAUUUUAAGCUGUUUUGCACCACCCAUAAAUGUGAUUUCAUAUAACAAUUUAUUAGUAGCAUUUGUAAUUAUUGACAUCCUAUCUGCAGUUUGAAUGUAUCCAUUUACAGUGAAUGAGGUCGGGUCAUUGUCUUAUUUUUAUUGAUCACAGUAAAUAUAAUUCAAAUUAUUUAUUAAUAGGUUUGCAACUGAAUGUAUUUUUAAGCAGCUCUGGCACUGAAACAAGCAAAGAUGCUGCUCUAUAAUUGCAAGAAACAAAAUGAUGACCCUUAAUAUUUGCCUGCAUUCAUCUACUAAAGAUGCACAGUGAAACAUUAGCAAUGAAAAGGCAUGGACAGUUAUUUUCACGGUUGAUCUUAUUGCAUAUGCAUUUGUAGGAGUUUCUCUUUCAGACAAAAUUUCUGGAAGGAGUGAUUUACUAAGGUUUGCACUAGUCAAUAUGGGCUUCAGUUUCGGGAUCCUGGCAUUCGUGUUUUGUACUUGUCUCGUGUUGAUGCAUCUUUUCCUCGAUUGUGUUCCAUUCUUUUUAAUUUGGUACUGUUUUUGCCCUUGCAAGGGUGUUCUGUUUUCAAACCUUUUUGGCUGAAGUCUGGGCCUUGUUUGUUUGUUUGUUUUCUCAUCAUUUUUAUUUUCAUCAUUUACAUUUAAAGGGAGAUUUCAUUUUUCAUUUUUUCAUUUUAUUUUAUUGCUCCAUGGUAAAACACAAAACAUUUCAUUUUCUUCUUUAGAUAAUUUAAAUUCCCAUGUGCAAAAGGGAUCAGAAAGAAGAUAAAAUCUUGUAAUAUCUGUCCCCUAUUCCAAAAGCAAAAUAACCUUUCUUAAGCAGCAUACACCCAAAGUUACACUGACAAAAAACAAUGUUGGUUUAAAAAUCAGCAUUCAUGCAGUAUAAUAAUUCAGGCAAUGCCCAAACAACAAAACAACAGUAAUCCAAUACAUACAUACUGACCAAUAUUACUAAAGCCAAUAUAUAUAGAGCAAAACAAAACCAAGCAAAAACCAAAAACAACAUAGACCUCACCAUAUUAAUACUGACUGAAUAUACUCUGUUUAUACUUAUACUUAAACUGACCAAUAUUACUACAACUUUUAAGAUUAUCAUGCAAGGAGUUCCACACUUUUACUCCCAUAACUGAAGGGCACAUUUGUUUUAUUGUUGUACGUGCAAAUUGAUGUUUAAAAUUAUACCUUCUCCUACUGAACUCUUUUUCUAACUGAUUUCAUUUUUUUGUAGCACUGUCUGUGGCUGGGUUCUGUCCCAGAACCCUAACACUUACUGAAU
ensembl:lncRNA